rnacentral:tRNA from 1 species
GCCCCGAUGGUGUAGCCCGGAUAACACACGGCACUGCGGAUGCCGAGAUCGGGGGUUCAAAUCCCCCUCGGGGCG